rnacentral:rRNA from 1 species
CAGUAGGGAGGAAGGUAGUGUAGUUAACACCUGCAUUAUUUGACGUUACCUACAGAAGAAGCACCGGCUAACUCCGUGCCAGCAGCCGCGGUAAUACGGAGGGUGCGAGCGUUAAUCGGAAUUACUGGGCGUAAAGACGCAUGCAGGCGGCCUGUUAAGUCAGAUGUGAAAGACCCGGGGCGUUAACCUCGGAAAUUGCAUUUGAAACUAGGCAGGCUAGAGUCUUGUAGAGGGGGGUAGGAAUUUCUAGGUGUAGCGGUGAAAUAGCGUAGAGAUCUGAAGGAAUACCAGUGGCGAAGGCGGCCCCCUGGACAAAGACUGACGCUCAGAUGCGAAAGCGUGGGGAGCAAACAGGAUUAGAUACCCUGGUAG